UACAGAGGGGGCAAGCGUUGUUCGGAAUUACUGGGCGUAAAGCGUGCGCAGGCGGCUUUGCAAGACAGAUGUGAAAUCCCCGGGCUUAACCUGGGAACUGCAUUUGUGACUGCAUGGCUAGAGUGCGGCAGAGGGGGAUGGAAUUCCGCGUGUAGCAGUGAAAUGCGUAGAUAUGCGGAGGAACACCGAUGGCGAAGGCAGUCCCCUGGGCCUGUACUGACGCUCAUGCACGAAAGCGUGGGGAGCGAACAGG
rnacentral:rRNA from 1 species